rnacentral:lncRNA from 1 species
GAGGUGCAAAAUAUUAUCCAUUUGCAAAGAAUAGCAAAUCGAAUGCCAGACGCAUUGGUAUUUAAUAUACCACACUCACCCCUAGAAGGAGGUUUGAGAUGAUAUAUAAAAAUAAUGUCAUUGAUAUGGCAUGAAUGAUCGUUGGUCACGUACCUAUUGUACGCCAAAAUAUUUUGGAAAUAUGACUAUUAAAUGACAACGAUAAUGCAAGAAACAUAUCUUGCAUAUAAUUUUGACCAUGACCAUAAU